GAGGUCUAAAAAAUGAACUCUUUGCCAGCGGAUGUUGUGUAGGCCAAGACUAAAACAGGGUUCAAAAAAGAACUAGAUAAAUUCAUGGAGGAUAGGUCCA